rnacentral:rRNA from 1 species
UACGUAGGGUCCGAGCGUUGUCCGGAAUUACUGGGCGUAAAGAGCUCGUAGGUGGUUUGUCGCGUUGUUCGUGAAAACUCACAGCUCAACUGUGGGCGUGCGGGCGAUACGGGCAGACUAGAGUACUGCAGGGGGAGACUGGAAUUCCUGGUGUAGCGGUGGAAUGCGCAGAUAUCAGGAGGAACACCGGUGGCGAAGGCGGGUCUCUGGGCAGUAACUGACGCUCAUGCACGAAAGCGUGGGGAGCAAACAGG